UGCAAGUCGAACGAUGAAGCCCAGCUUGCUGGUGAUGGAUUAGUGGCGAACGGGUGAGUAACACGUGAGUAACCUGCCCUUGACUCUGGGAUAAGCGCUGGAAACGGCGUCUAAUACCGGAUACGACCUGCCCCGGCAUCGGGUGUGGGUGGAAAGUUUUUCGGUCAAGGAUGGACUCGCGGCCUAUCAGGUAGUUGGUGAGGUAAUGGCUCACCAAGCCGACGACGGGUAGCCGGCCUGAGAGGGUGACCGGCCACACUGGGACUGAGACACGGCCCAGACUCCUACGGGAGGCAGCAGUGGGGAAUAUUGCACAAUGGGCGAAAGCCUGAUGCAGCAACGCCGCGUGGGGGAUGACGGCCUUCGGGUUGUAAACCUCUUUUAGUAGGGAAGAAGGGCUUCGGCUUGACGGUACCUGCAGAAAAAGCACCGGCUAACUACGUGCCAGCAGCCGCGGUAAUACGUAGGGUGCAAGCGUUGUCCGGAAUUAUUGGGCGUAAAGAGCUCGUAGGCGGUUUGUCGCGUCUGCUGUGAAAACCCGAGGCUCAACCUCGGGCCUGCAGUGGGUACGGGCAGACUAGAGUGCGGUAGGGGAGAAUGGAAUUCCUGGUGUAGCGGUGGAAUGCGCAGAUAUCAGGAGGAACACCGAUGGCGAAGGCAGUUCUCUGGGCCGUUACUGACGCUGAGGAGCGAAAGCGUGGGGAGCGAACAGGAUUAGAUACCCUGGUAGUCCACGCCGUAAACGUUGGGAACUAGAUGUGGGGACCUUUCCACGGUCUCCGUGUCGCAGCUAACGCAUUAAGUUCCCCGCCUGGGGAGUACGGCCGCAAGGCUAAAACUCAAAGGAAUUGACGGGGGCCCGCACAAGCGGCGGAGCAUGCGGAUUAAUUCGAUGCAACGCGAAGAACCUUACCAAGGCUUGACAUAUACCGGAAACUUCCAGAAAUGGUUGCCCCGCA
rnacentral:rRNA from 1 species